rnacentral:rRNA from 1 species
GAUGAACGCUGGCGGCGUGCCUAAUACAUGCAAGUCGAGCGAACAGACGAUGAGCUUGCUCCUCUGACGUUAGCGGCGGACGGGUGAGUAACACGUGGAUACCCUACCUAUAAGACUGGGAUAACUUCGGGACACCGGAGCUAAUACCGGAGAAUAUAUUGAAGCGCAUGGUUCAAUAGUGAAAUACGGUUUUUCUGUCACUUCUAGCUGGAUCCCCGCCGCUUUAGCUGGUUGGUAAGUUAACAGCUUACCACGGCAACGAUGCGUAGCCGACGUGAGCGGGGGAUCGGCCACACUGGAACGGGGACACGGUCAAUACGCCUACGGGAGGCAGCAGAAGGGAACCUGCGGCAAUGGGGGAAAGCCUGACGGAGCAACGGCGCGUGAGAGAUAAAGGUCUUGGGAUCGUAAAACCCUGUUAUUAGGGAAGAACAACUGUGUAAGUAAAUGUGCACGUAUUGACGGUAACUAAUCAGAAAGCCACGGCUAACUACGUG